AGGGUUUGAUUAUGGCUCAGAACGUACGCUGGCGGCACGCCUUAUACAUGCAAGUCGAACGAAGUAGCAAUACUUAGUGGCAGACGGGUGAGUAACAUGUAGGUACCUUCCCUUUGGUGAGGAAUAACACGAGGAAACUUGUGCUAAUACCUCAUAAGUCUUUACGGAGAAAGCUUUAUGCGCCGAAGGAUGAGCCUGCACUUGAUUAGUUUGUUGGUGGGGUAAUGGCCUACCAAGACUGUGAUCUAUAGCUGAUCUGAGAGGAUGAUCAGCCACAUUGGGACUGAGACACGGCCCAAACUCCUACGGGAGGCAGCAGUAGGGAAUAUUGCACAAUGGAGGAAACUCUGAUGCAGCGAUGCCGCGUGAGUGAAGAAGGCCUUUGGGUUGUAAAGCUCUUUCGUCGGGGAAGAAAAUGACUGUACCCGAAUAAGAAGGUCCGGCUAACUUCGUGCCAGCCGCCGCGGUAAUA
rnacentral:rRNA from 1 species